UACGAAGGGGGCUAGCGUUGCUCGGAAUCACUGGGCGUAAAGGGUGCGUAGGCGGGUCUUUUAAGUCAGGGGUGAAAUCCUGGAGCUCAACUCCAGAACUGCCUUUGAUACUGAAGAUCUUGAGUUCGGGAGAGGGUGAGUGGAAUUGCGAGUGUAGAGGUGAAAUUCGUAGAUAUUCGCAAGAACACCAGUGGCGAAGGCGGCUCACUGGCCCGAUACUGACGCUGAGGCACGAAAGCGUGGGGAGCAAACAGGG
rnacentral:rRNA from 1 species